rnacentral:rRNA from 1 species
CAGUAGCCGCGGGAAUACGUAGGUGGCAAGCGUUGUCCGGAAUUAUUGGGCGUAAAGCGCGCGCAGGUGGUUUAAUAAGUCUGAUGUGAAAGCCCACGGCUCAACCGGGGAGGGUCAUUGGAAACUGGGAAACUUGAGUGCAGAAGAGGAGAGUGGAAUUCCACGUGUAGCGGUGAAAUGCGUAGAGAUGUGGAGGAACACCAGUGGCGAAGGCGACUCUCUGGUCUGUAACUGACGCUGAGGAGCGAAAGCGUGGGGAGCGAACAGGAUUAGAUACCCCUGUAGUCCCUGUCUCUUAUAC